rnacentral:rRNA from 1 species
GACGAACGCUGGCGGCGUGCUUAACACAUGCAAGUCGAACGGUGAAGCGCCUUCCCUUUUGGUGGGUGUGGCUGAGUGGCGAACGGGUGAGUAACACGUGAGUAACCUGCCCCCUUCUUCUGGAUAACCGCAUGAAAGUGUGGCUAAUACGGGAUAUUCUGGGUCUGUCGCAUGAUGGGACUGGGAAAGAUAUCGUUUCGGUGGGGGAUGGGCUCGCGGCCUAUCUGCUUGUUGGUGGGGUGAUGGCCUACCAAGGCGGUGGCGGGUGGCCGGCCUGAGAGGGUUGCCGCUCCUGCUGGGACUGUGACGCCGACCAGACUCAUGCGGGAGGGAGCAGUGGUGAGUGUUGGACGAUGUGCGCAAGCCUGAUGCAGCGACGCCGCGUGAGGGAUGGAGGCCGUCGGGUUGUGAACCUCUUUCUCCAGUGAAGCGGGCCUGCCUCGGUGGUGGGUGGGUUGACGGUAGCUGGAUAGGAAGCGCCGGCUAACUACGUG